CAAUAGCGUAUACUAAAGUUGUUGCAGUUAAAAAGCUCGUAGUUGGAUUUCUGUGCAUCGGUUGUUGGGCUACGCUUAUGGUGUGGUCCCUUCACCGCUGUACAUCCUGUUGGCAGACACGUGCUGGCAUUAAUUUGUCGGUGCGGGGAGACCACUCGUUUACUUUGAGAAAAUUAAAGUGUUCAAAGCAGGCGCUCGCUUGAAUACAUUAGCAUGGAAUAAUAGUAUAGGACUUUGAUCUUAUUUGUUGGUUUUAAAGAAUCAAAGUAAAUGAUUGAUAGGGACAUUGGGGGCGAUCAGAUUCUGAAGCGAGAGGUGAAAUUACUUGGACCUCGUA
rnacentral:rRNA from 1 species